rfam:Agrobacterium tumefaciens str. C58 circular chromosome, complete sequence.
AGCUGUUCCCCUCUGGAGGUUUUUGACCUUCACACUUAAAGGGCCCUGGAUCUAUCCGGCGGCCCUCUUUUUUUACCCGC